rnacentral:rRNA from 1 species
UUUGACGGUAAUCAACCAGAAGUCACGGCUAACUACGUGCCAGCAGCCGCGGUAAUACGUAGGUGGCAAGCGUUGUCCGGAUUUAUUGGGCGUAAAGCGAGCGCAGGCGGAAUGAUAAGUCUGAUGUGAAAGCCCACGGCUCAACCGUGGAACUGCAUCGGAAACUGUCAUUCUUGAGUGCAGAAGAGUAGAGUGGAACUCCAUGUGUAGCGGUGGAAUGCGUAGAUAUAUGGAAGAACACCAGUGGCGAAGGCGGCUCUCUGGUCUGCAACUGACGCUGAGGCUCGAAAGCAUGGGUAGCGAACAGGAUUAGAUACCCUGGUAGUCCAUGCCGUAAACGAUGAGCGCUAGGUGUUGGGGACUUUCCGGUCCUCAGUGCCGCAGCAAACGCAUUAAGCGCUCCGCCUGGGGAGUACGACCGCAAGGUUGAAACUCAAAGGAAUUGACGGGGGCCCGCACAAGCGGUGG